rnacentral:lncRNA from 1 species
UGUAGGUGCUGGUGGCGCGGCAGGACCCUCCGGCCAGGACGGAGGAGAUGCGGCUGGAGCCGCCCCCGAUGCCGCCCCCGAUGCCGCAGGAGCCCUUCAUGGAGCUGGAGGAGGUGAACUGGCGGCUGCAGGUGCUCAUGGUGCUGAGGAGGGAGGUGAGUGAGCGAGCAGUUGGCUGAGUGAAGAGAAGGUGCUCAGACAGGCCCCAACAGCCCCUGCUG